CAAGGAGGUAGUGAAUAAUGAAAAGUACAUCUUGCCAAGAUGGUAAUGCAUGAUGAAAAAUACAUCUUGCCAAGGUGGUAAUGGAUGAUAAAAAGUACAUCUUGCAAAGGUGGUAAUGGAUGAUAAAAAGUACAUCUUGCAAAGGUGGUAAUGGAUGAUAAAAAGUAUAUCUUGCAAAGGUGGUAAUGGAUGAUAAAAAGUACAUCUUGCAAAGGUGGUAAUGGAUGAUAAAAAGUACAUCUUGCAAAGGUGGUAAUGGAUGAUAAAAAGUAAUCUUGCAAAGGUGGUAAUGGAUGAUAAAAAGUACAUCUUGCAAAAAUGGUGGUACAUGGAUGAUAAAAAGUACAUCUUGCAAAGGUGGUAAUGGAUGAUAAAAAGUAAUCUUGCAAAGGUGGUAAUGGAUGAUAAAAAGUACAUUUUGAC